GUCACACACACAUCUCCUGGAGAGACGCUGCAGACUUCUGAGAUGGUACCCUAUGCUCCACUCUGUGGGCAGUGACUGUUGGAGCAGCCAUUUGAGAACUGAGUUUGCCACCACAUUAAAUACUCCACAUCCCUAUUUACACUGCAGUGCUUCCAGAAGCACCACCUUCUCUCUCUGAUGCUCCAAGGGCUACGUCUUGUCCUGCACUCCAGUGGCACCACUGUCACAGAGGGAAACCCCACGACUGUGGUGUUUCACAUGAGGAGGAAGAGUAAUGUCAGUGGAAAAUGCUCUCCUCAGCUUAAAAGGUUGGCUCCCUCCAGUUAUGCACCUUCUUCUGUCAGUAGGGAAGCUGUUUCAGCAGGGGAGUUGGACUUGAUGAUCCCCAGAGGUCCCUUCCAACACCUAGGAUUCUGUGAUUGCUUGUCUUCAGGAGCACUAUGGCCAGAAUGUACAAUCAGAAGAAUUUUUUUAUCUUCCUUUAUGAGGGAUAGAGAUGUUUGUGGAAAACACUCAUCUGCCUGCAAUAAUCAUGUUUCAUGUGCUUAGAAUUAGAUCAAUAACAUGGGCUCAAGUACAGCACUGACUUGAUUGGCUUACUGCUGCCUUUCUACUUAAGAGCUGCUCCUCCUGGCUGUGUUCUGCAGGCAAUCCCUCAGCACAUCUUUCACCCCCAAAAACAUCUCCAAGGAUUUCUGAAGGAAAUAUCCACCAGGUUCGGCCAAGAAGCAAAAGCACAACAGACUUUUUAAGCCCAUCUUGGGGCUAAAUAAAUAAAUGAAUUUAUAAUCUCUCCU